UACGAAGGGGGCUAGCGUUGUUCGGAAUUACUGGGCGUAAAGCGCACGUAGGCGGCUUGGCAAGUUGGGGGUGAAAUCCCGGGGCUCAACCCCGGAACUGCCUUCAAAACUCCCAGUCUGGAGGUCGAGAGAGGUGAGUGGAAUUCCGAGUGUAGAGGUGAAAUUCGUAGAUAUUCGGAGGAACACCAGUGGCGAAGGCGGCUCACUGGCUCGAUACUGACGCUGAGGUGCGAAGGCGUGGGGAGCGAACGGG
rnacentral:rRNA from 1 species